rnacentral:rRNA from 1 species
GGGUCCAUCCAGUGGUAACACUGGUGAAGACCUAGUGGCGAACGGGUGAGUAACACGUGAGCAACCUGCCCCGAAGACUGGGAUAACACCGGGAAACCGGUGCUAAUACCGGAUACCCCCAUUUGAUCGCAUGUUCAGAUGAGGAAAUGAAUUUCGCUUCGGGAGGGGCUCGCGGCCUAUCAGCUUGUUGGUGAGGUAACGGCUCACCAAGGCUAGGACGGGUAGCUGGUCUGAGAGGACGACCAGCCACAUUGGGACUGAGACACGGCCCAGACUCCUACGGGAGGCAGCAGUGGGGAAUAUUGCGCAAUGGGCGAAAGCCUGACGCAGCAACGCCGCGUGGAGGAUGAAGGCUUUCGAGUUGUAAACUCCUUUCAGCAGGGACGAAGAUGACGUUACCUGCACAAGAAGCUCCGGCCAACUACGUGCCAGCAGCCGCGGUAAUACGUAGGGAGCAAGCGUUGUCCGGAUUUAUUGGGCGUAAAGAGCUCGUAGGCGGCUUGGCAAGUCGGGUGUGAAAUCUCCAGGCUCAACCUGGAGGGCCACUCGAUACUGCCAUGGCUUGAGUCCGGUAGGGGAUCACGGAAUUCCUGGUGUAGCGGUGAAAUGCGCAGAUAUCAGGAGGAACACCAAUGGCGAAGGCAGUGAUCUGGGCCGGUACUGACGCUGAGGAGCGAAAGCGUGGGGAGCGAACAGGAUAGGUAUCUUGUCCUCUUCGACAGUAAUGUCGUCGACUAAACCAGCUAUAUCGGUGAAAGCCCGUUGUCAUACCCCAGUCAUCUGAUUGAGGGAAUGAAGCGGGUAACGCCGAGGGAAGUUCGCUCUAUUCCAAAAGUACUAACAAGUCAACAAGAAGAAGUGCUUGUCGGCACCUUGUUGGGUGAUGGUUGUUUGGCCAAGCAUGGGCGGUAUCAUCGCCUUUUUGUCAAACACAAACUCGCUCAACGUGCGCUGGAGGCGCUGAUUAUGCUGGCUUGAAUCUCCAGACUCAUAAUUUUGAACUGGAGGAGACAAAGCAACUGGGAGUAAUUCUUGCAGAGCGGUUCACGAUACAAUCGAGAACCAGGGCCAACAAAGGAAGUUGGAUACUUUAUAUUCCAGCAUCCGAAGUUGGAUUGCUUCGAUCUGUGAUCGAACCGCAUAUUCUGCCU